GGAUGUGAGGGUGAUCUGGCUGAGACAUCUGUCACCCCAUUGAUCCCCAGGGUUGAUUCGGCUGAUCUGGCUGGCUAGGUGAGUGUCCCCUUCCUCCCCCACCGCUCCACGUGCAUCCCUCCCAAAGCUGGGCGCUAGGUCAAAGAAUAGAGACAGACUGGUCUUCAGUCGAGGGUAUGCGAGUAGCUGUGCUUCCCUGCUAGAACCUCCAAACAAGCUCUCAGGAACAUCAUUCUGGCAUAUGCAAUACCAAAGAUUGAACUAAGGACUUUAUGCCUGAGUUUUCAGCAGUU
rnacentral:snRNA from 1 species